GCAAAUUUUUUUUAGUUUCGCUGUCAGUCGACGUACACUCAAGCCUCAGACCUCACACCUCUGUUGCCGUCUAGAUUCACCGCUGCCGCUCCGUCUCACACCUCCGCUGCCAUCUCACCCUCGUUGUAUUCGCCUUCCUCUGCCAGCCGUCGCCUCUUCCCUCCCCGGUCUGCCGACGUCGCCUCUUUCCUCCAUUAACAUGGUACAGUAAAGUGAGAAGAUUCUAUCCCGUGGACCUGUUCUUUGAAGCUUAAUUGUCAAGUAUGUAGAUGGCAGUUGGAAUUUUGUGCAGUCUCAUUAUGCAAGGCCAGCAAGGGGAUUCCGGUCUUCUACCUUGUCCAGCUCUCAAGGCUGUAUUAGAGCAGCGUCUUAUUAUUGCAUUUUUUUAAAAUUGCCAUUACUUUCUCUAUAUGCUUUAUCAGUUAUGCUGAAUGUAGUCAUAUGCAUACUUCUUUUAAUGUUUUGCUUCUAAAUUCUAAUUGAUUUAUAAUUUUCAUGUUAGGACAUGUUGAAAUCCAGAGCUUCCCUUCCUAUUGCUGAGUUAAAAGGAUGAUAUUUUGCAUUCACUUGAAAAGAAUGAUAUUUUGGUUGUUUGUGGGGAAACAGGUUGUGGUAAAACAACUCAGGUUCGAAUUUGUUAUGCCUUGUUUUGAAGCUUACUUGUUUUAGGUAGUUUCUGUAGCUGAAAGAGUUGCCGAUGAGCGAGUUGAAUCUUCACCAGGUUCAUAUGAUUCUUUGGUUGGCUAUCAAGUACGUCUUGAUAGUGCAAGGGACAGUAAUGAUCAACUAAGUCUGAAUCAUGUGCUAUUGCAACCACAGAGUUGGAGUAAAACAAUCAAAGGACCUUCCACGUGGGUCUUGAAAUAAUGCAUGGCCGUAUCAACAUGUUGAUCCCAAACAGUACACUUAAGAUGAUUGCCCCUAAAAGUUAAAUAAACAGAUUGUGUAACUACCCUACACCUCAAAGUGAUAUAAUUGAUGCUUUAAACAGUGGCCUGGUGUAACUAUAGUACUGAUCAAAGUGAAAAAUUGAAUGCAUUAAACAGUGGCCUGUUGAAAUUGAAAGAGAACUUACCUCACUGUCAUGAAAGACACAUUCCUGACUCUUGAUGCUAUCCGAACUGUUGCGACCUUCGGGUACCGUAUAGAUAUUCAGAAAUUUGAAAGCAACCAAGAAAGAUGAAGGAAUCACUUAGACUGAAGGAGAGAAUAAUGGUAGACAAUUAUGAAGUUAGUACCAAGUAUUUAUACAGGCUUGGUGAGAAGUUUCAAAUCAGCCAUGAUCUCUCGGUUGCCUCCCAAAUGAGACUGCACAUUGGAAGAACAAACGACGCAUGGGCAAAUUUAAUUUGCAACUUCAUAUAUAUAUGUUGUAUCCGUUGUAUGUAGAUCGUAAAAUCAAUUGUAUUUGUAUUUGUAUCGUAUUGUAUUACUCAAUAGUUGUUCCUUUAUUAGAGUCCCAAUUAAAUUGUUGGCAACCGCAUUAAUAUGAAAGGCGACUGACCACUUUCCCAAAUAAUUGGGACUCUAAAAAAUGGCUGUUAAUCAUAGAUUUAUUCUUUCAAUUAAAAGACAAACACAAUUGAUUUUC